UACGUAGGGUGCAAGCGUUAAUCGGAAUUACUGGGCGUAAAGCGUGCGCAGGCGGUUUUGUAAGUCUGUCGUGAAAUCCCCGGGCUUAACCUGGGAAUGGCGAUGGAGACUGCAAGGCUAGAGUUUGGCAGAGGGGGGUAGAAUUCCACGUGUAGCAGUGAAAUGCGUAGAGAUGUGGAGGAACACCGAUGGCGAAGGCAGCCCCCUGGGUCAAAACUGACGCUCAUGCA
rnacentral:rRNA from 1 species